GCCACUGUGGUGUAGUGGUUAGAAUGCUGGGUUAGGAUCUGGGAGUCCAGGGUUCAAAUCCUCAGACUGGCA